AACACCGAAGUUAAGCAUCGUAGAGCCAGGUCAGUACUUAGAUGGGGGACCGCUUGGGAACACCUGUUACUGUAAG
rnacentral:rRNA from 1 species